CAGAACUGUAGCUCUCUGAAAAAUAUUUUGACAAAGAGUUACAGUUCUGCAGCUAGGAAAAUUCCACAGAGGGGGCAUGAAUCGCAGUCUAGGACGAGGUUUGCUCCAGAGGUGGAAUUUCCCUAUCCCACACGAGUAAUAAGUAAGGUUUGUUUUUCGUGCAUAAAUUCAGUAGGUUUGAGAACAUUUUUAAAAUUAUGAACUUUGAUGCAAAAACAGAUUAGAUGGACGGAAAGAGUGCGUUCGAGGUCGCCGUUCCCGUUGUUUCUUUGAGUCGCGAGCGACGAGGACAUGUGCGCAUAAACGUUUUCUUUGUUCUUCGACCACACUACGUGAGUUCUUGCACCUCGAACCCGUUUUCUGGUUGCGUACUCGGCGUUCGGGACUGACUGGAAUUUGUACUCGUAUGAAGAAGGGCGAUCUCGAACGCACUCAAAUAGAAAAAGAACAAUCCAGUUCUGAAGAUUUAAAGUGCAGACGGGUCCUGCUACACUAGAAGUAAACAGACACAGUCUUCAUCCACUGUCGGUAAUGCCUGUCCACUUCAGAAAAUACUGAUUAAAUCCCCAGCUAUCAAUUUUAGUCUCGGAUCUCAAUCGUUUUAUUUCCUUUUGACACAUUGAUUGAAUUACAACCCAUAAACCAAAAGGAGGAUUUUACUAUAAAUCUGCCUCUAAAGCAGAUGUCGCAGAAUGACAGAGAUCUGACAGAAUGACAUAGAUCUGACAGAAUGACAUAUAUGGAUAAUGUUUAAAGAAAUACUUACUCCCUGACCGCCUCAUUGGACCCGUGGUCAUUCUCUUUGAGGAAUUCAUCAAACAUGGCAGCAUCUUCCUGGAG